ensembl:antisense_RNA ZK593.11 ncRNA
AACACCUUUCCGUGUUCCAAGAGCUCCUCCAUUUUCAAUUGUACAUAUAACUGCUGUUUCUUCACAACUUUCGACGAUUAAAGAAAUCAAUCCGUCAUCAAUAUAGAUUCUUGAACCAGGUCCUUUGGUGUCAAGAGCAAUUGCGACCGGGAAUGGAGCAUUUUCAGCAGCUUCACGGAUUGUCUUGAUUGUUGCAGCAUGUGCCUGAAAUUAUUUGUUUCUUUUUCUGUGCCUGAUACAUUAUUUUUUACAAAUAAUG